UACGGAGGGUGCAAGCGUUAUCCGGAUUUAUUGGGUUUAAAGGGUGCGCAGGCGGGGCCUUAAGUCAGUGGUGAAAUCCCGUAGCUCAACUACGGAACUGCCAUUGAUACUGAGGUUCUUGAAUGUAGUUGACGUUAGUGGAAUGUGUCAUGUAGCGGUGAAAUGCUUAGAUAUGACACAGAACACCGAUCGCGAAGGCAGCUAACGAAGCUAUUAUUGACGCUCAGGCACGACAGCAUGGGGAGCAAACAGG
rnacentral:rRNA from 1 species